UGGGUGGUGUCCCUGAGCCUUUACGUAAGCUAGGUACGGCUGCUGGUAUUUUGUUUGGUGGAGUCAUCACGCUGUCGUUGGCCUCUACUCUAACGAUUCGAGCACUACAAACUGUUUCUGAAGCUAAACGGGGUGCAGCGUUGUCUAAAUUGUCUUGGAAAGGGAUAUUGCUGAGCUUUUAAGAGGUGUGACAGUUACAGACUUCGAGCCUAUUGUUGACUUCUUCAGACGUAGCAGGAACUUUGAAUUUCCACCAUCAACGCCCAACCUUCUUCAACUACCUAGAUUGUUAGUAUGGCGUAAGCUAAGCAGAGAUCACAUUUGUUACGGCCACUUUGAACCCUGACGGGUGUUGCUUCUUUUUACUCCAGGGAGUCGGAUCUCAAAAGCUCGUGGCAGAUAUAUAAAAAGGGGGAUCUCCAAAUUUCAGUCCUUUAUAGCCCUAGGAAAUGUAAAAUGAGUGAACCUUCCCAUUUUAAGUUAUAAUGGGUUUAUGGUGAAGUUGAACUAAAGUCUUUUACUUGAUAUAUUUGCUACUAAAGUCUUUCCAUGAAAUUUCUGAUUAUGAUGUAAUAGUUUUUCCAAAAUACCACAACUUGUUUGUUAAAUACAGUAACAAACUGUAUGCAACUCUGAACAA